rnacentral:sRNA from 1 species
UCGAACCUCCGAUCCACGGAAUGCGGUAUGAAAAUAUUAAUGAUUUUAAUAACAUAAAUUUUAAAAGAUGCCAAGAUAAACGAAGAGAUCAUAGUGAUCCUGACAA